rnacentral:ncRNA from 1 species
CAGUGGGUGCAAGACCCACCCGGCAACCGCUCCAGCCGGAAGCAACCGGGGCAGGCAUGGAGGUGACGAAAUGUCUGAAGCCCUCGGAUAGCGGUCACGAAUUUGGUGACCGCGCGAGUGUGCAGGCCGCAACGCGA